UCGAUUCUUGUUGAUGCCGAGAUAUCUGCAGAUAUUUGUGGUCACCUUCCCUCUUAUCAGUUUUAUGACUAAUAGACUCCACAAAUUAUAGUGAAUCAUGGAAGCACAUCCAUUUCCUUCCGGUUAAACCUUAGCUAUCGUCAACAACACCACCCCUCUCCUUAUUCUAUCCUCCCGUCGUGCGACCUGCACCAUUGCUCGACACAGUUCCUCUUAAUUCGAAAAAUCUGGCCUCCUUUUUCCCUUAUAUUCGUCGGCAUCUUCUUAUCUAUACACUGAAAGGGGGUACGAUUGAAGAUAAUUUAUUAGUCAUCACCAGCACUACCCUCUCUUCAAUCUCUCCACCCGCCAACGACCUUCACAUUGUUUUUAUUUCCUAUGAAAUCGCCUCUAUCUUCACCUCUGCACAUCUCGCCACCUGCGGAGCAAGAAAAUAAAAGGAUCAGAUUCCCUUUUCCCCACACCCACACGUAAUACCCUCGAUUACACCAGUCAAGUCCUUCGUUCCACGGCUCUUCGUUUUCCGCCCCAUUUUGAAGCAUCUUAUCUUCCCCUAGAUAGGAAACCCUAAAUCCCUUCUCACAACCUUCAAACUAUUCACAACUCUUUAACACUAACACUAGCCGUCACUCACCAACACCACAACAACCAUUUUUUAGCAACACCAUCCGGCAUCGUUUUCCUCCUUGCCACUGUCAUGACAUCAUAAGAUAUCUAUAGAAAGAAACUCCUACUGCAUCUUUUCCACCACCACGCACACCAUUCCCCAUCUAUAGACACAUGAAACUUUAGCCACGACACCUCUUCAAGAUAAGUUAACUAUGGGAGAAGAUCCAAAUCAGUUGAGGCUUUGGGGUUAGGGUGCUUGAUAGCUUUUGUUUUGUUAUUUUGUCUCAAAGUUUUGUUCUUUCGAUUUUACAAGAAAUGGUGACGAUCUGAAACCCUUCAACACCGAUUAUAUGAAUGGGUUUCAAAUUCCUUCCAAAAGGAACACUAAUCUUUCACACACACACACACACACACUACAUCGACAUUGCUAGAAGAUGCUUGACGUGUGCUUCUUCAAUUUCAUCGUGAACACGAAAGGUAAGUAUGAAUUUUUCCUAUAUUUUUUCUCUCUAUCAAACGAUGUCACAUGGUUUUAAUAUAAAAUCUAUUUCAUAUUUCUGGAGAUGGUGAACGGAUUUGAUCAAUUGAUAUUAGUUUCCUCAAUCUUCUGUUAACUACGCCUAUGCAACGACCAAAUUCGCAACCUGUGUCUCUUCUCAGCCUCUUGCUUCCCGAUCUACCACCAUCAAUACCACUCAGUGCCACCGUUAUCAUCGUCUGCUGGUAUCACCACUAAUCACCAUGACUCCAUCACACCUCUAGAUUCUUUACUAUUUUUUUCUAAAUGUGUAUCUUAAAGGUUUAUACUUGCUAAAUGUUGGUUCUACAAAAGAUCAUUAAUUUUAUGUAGAAAGUAAAUGGCCAGUUUUGGCAACUCCUAAGUAGCCCCUGAGGUAAGGCUGGGUCAAUUCCAUAUUCAAUUAUAGUUUAUUAAUUUUCCCUAAUUUCCUGGUUGUUGAUCUGCUUUAAUAUUUUGUAGAAUGUGUGUAACCCAAUUUGCAGGUUUUAACUGGAUCAAAUAGGGCAACCAAAGACGUAUAUGGGUUCAUUUCAUAUGGUUCUUUUUUUCAAUACAUGGAAAAGAAAGGAGUGUGGAAUAGAUAUGGUUGGUGGUGAUAAUGUGAAGUAUUCCAACUAUGUGUUAGUUGGACUAGAAUAUUGUAAAGGAUUACAACGGCUCAUAUUCAAUCUGGUUAUGAUUUAGAUUUUUAUUUACUCACAAACGAUGAUUAAACAACGGGCUUGGAGGGCUUUUGGAAGUGGUUGGAUCAGUAAGAGGUCAUUGCUAUAAAUGGUGGGACCCCCAAAGUAGGACAUUAUGCUUUUGUCUUUAAUUGGGUAAGGUAUAAAAACAUAAUGUCCUACUAAGAAAAUAGUUUGAAAGUAAAAUGUUGUAACUGGUAUUUAGUUUUUCAAAACUAAUUUAUAAAAUGAUCUUUUAAAUCA